rnacentral:rRNA from 1 species
CCGUGAGGUGUUGGGUUAAGUCCCGCAACGAGCGCAACCCCUAUCUUUAGUUGCCAUCAGUUCGGCUGGGCACUCUAUGGAGACUGCCACCUAAAGUGGAGGAAGGUGGGGAUGACGUCAAGUCAGCAUGGCCCUUACGUCCGGGGCUACACACGUGCUACAAUGGCCGGUACAAAGGGUUGCGAAGCCGUGAGGUGGAGCUAAUCCCAUAAAACCGAUCGUAGUCCGGAUCGCAGUCUGCAACUCGACUGCGUGAAGUCGGAAUCGCUAGUAAUCGUGAAUCAGAAUGUCACGGUGAAUACGUUCCCGGGCCUU